rnacentral:lncRNA from 1 species
UUGGAAAGCAGUGCUGCCAGCUGCUUGGUCACUGCUCCUUAGAUAAGGGAGGCCCAUUCCCUUGGCUUAUUCUCUGAGCAUAAUGUGCUCACAGCAUCUGUCAGGACUCAUUGCUUUCAAAAGAAGAGGACUUACCUUAAAUCAACUGAAGCACAAAAUGAAACUCAAGUAACUACCUCAUGUAAAUCAUACAACUAAAAAGUCCAGGUGAGAGCUCUAUCUGUGACCUCCAGGGUGGACCGCUUCAGGGUACAUAGCUAGAAUUUGUGGAAAGGGGGAAAGUAGAUUGAUACAUGUGUGUAUACAGUCCUGUGGAUUCUAACCCAGAACAACUCAAGUGACCUCAGUUCACGAAGACAAAAGAAGAUUUUCGUUUGAUUGUGUCUGGGUGGGUGUUUCGUUCAAGCAAGAACUGAGCAAAAUAAAAGUUGUCUUUAUAAGUCCUCAGUCUAA